UGAAUACGAGAUGCUACGGCGUCGAAGCAGUCUAUGUCAUACUUCCAAGAAAAGCUUGCACUGUCAUAAACAAAUAAUGCCUGUACCAUAACCGACACAGGUGGGUAGGUAGAGUAUACUAAGGGGCGCGAGAUAACUCUCUCUAAGGAACUCGGCAAAAUGACUCCGUAACUUCGGGAGAAGGAGUGCCUUAUUUAUAAGGUUGCAAUAACAAGAUCCAAGCAACUGUUUACCAAAAACAUAGGUCUCCGCUAAGUCGUAAGACCAUGUAUGGGGGCUGACGCCUGCCCAGUGCCAGAAGGUUAAAGAAGUUGGUUAGCAUCCGCGAAGCUGAUAACUGAAGCCCUGGUGAACGGCGGCCGUAACAAUAACGGUCCUAAGGUAGCGAAAUUCCUUGUCGGGUAAGUUCCGACCCGCACGAAAGGCGUAAUGAUUUGGAUACUGUCUCGGAGAGGGGCUCGGUGAAAUAGACUUGUCUGUGAAGAUGCGGACUACCUGCACCAGGACAGAAAGACCCUAUGAAGCUUUACUGUAACCUGAAAUUGAAAUUGGACUUUACAUGCGCAGUAUAGGUGGGAGGCGUUGAGAAUAUUCUUGCGGGAUUAUUGGAGCCAUCAGUGAGAUACCACUCUUGUAAUGUUAGAUUUCUAACUUUGUAUCAUUAUCUGGUCAAAGAACAGUUUCAGGCGGGCAGUUUGACUGGGGCGGUCGCCUCCUAAACGGUAACGGAGGCGCACAAAGGUUUCCUCUGAACGGGUAGAAAUCGUAUCUAGAGUGUAAAGGCAUAAGGAAGCUUGACUGUGAGACCUACAAGUCGAGCAGGGACGAAAGUCGGUCUUAGUGAUCUGACGGUGCUGAGUGGAAAGGCCGUCACUCAACGGAUAAAAGUUACUCUAAGGAUAACAGGCUGAUCUCCCCCAAGAGUUCACAUCGACGGGGAGGUUUGGCACCUCGAUGUCGGCUCAUCGCAUCCUGGGGCGGUAGUACGUCCCAAGGGUUGGGCUGUUCGCCCAUGAAAGCGGUACGCGAGCUGGGUUCAGAACGUCGUGAGACAGUUCGGUCCAUAUCCGGUGUAGGCGUUAGAAUAUUGAGAGGAGCCUUCUUUAGUACGAGAGGACCGAGAAGGACAUACCUCUGGUGUACCAGUUAUCGUGCCAACGGUAAACGCUGGGUAGCUAUGUGUGGAGUGGAUAACCGCUGAAAGCAUCUAAGUGGGAAGCCCACCUCAAGAUAAG
rnacentral:rRNA from 1 species